rnacentral:rRNA from 1 species
GAUGAACGCUGGCGGCGUGCCUAAUACAUGCAAGUCGAGCGAACGGACGAGAAGCUUGCUUCUCUGAUGUUAGCGGCGGACGGGUGAGUAACACGUGGAUAACCUACCUAUAAGACUGGGAUAACUUCGGGAAACCGGAGCUAAUACCGGCUAAUAUUUUGAACCGCAUGGUUCAAAAGUGAAAGACGGUCUUGCUGUCACUUAUAGAUGGAUCCGCGCUGCAUUAUCUAGUUGGUAAGGUAACGGCUUACCAAGGCAACGAUGCAUAGCCGCCCUGAGAGGGUGAUCGGCCACACUGGAACUGAGACACGGUCCAGACUCCUACGGGAGGCAGCAGUAGGGAAUCUUCCGCAAUGGGCGAAAGCCUGACGGAGCAACGCCGCGUGAGUGAUGAAGGUCUUCGGAUCGUAAAACUCUGUUAUUAGGGAAGAACAUAUGUGUAAGUAACUGUGCACAUCUUGACGGUACCUAAUCAGAAAGCCACGGCUAACUACGUG